rnacentral:rRNA from 1 species
GUGGGGAAUUUUGGACAAUGGGCGCAAGCCUGAUCCAGCAAUGCCGCGUGCAGGAAGAAGGCCUUCGGGUUGUAAACUGCUUUUGUACGGAACGAAACGGCUCUGGUUAAUACCCGGGGCUAAUGACGGUACCGUAAGAAUAAGCACCGGCUAACUACGUGCCAGCAGCCGCGGUAAUACGUAGGGUGCAAGCGUUAAUCGGAAUUACUGGGCGUAAAGCGUGCGCAGGCGGUUGUGUAAGACAGGCGUGAAAUCCCCGGGCUCAACCUGGGAAUUGCGCUUGUGACUGCACAGCUGGAGUGCGGCAGAGGGGGAUGGAAUUCCGCGUGUAGCAGUGAAAUGCGUAGAUAUGCGGAGGAACACCGAUGGCGAAGGCAAUCCCCUGGGCCUGCACUGACGCUCAUGCACGAAAGCGUGGGGAGCAAACAGGAUUAGAUACCCCGGUAGUCC